ACUUACGACCAUAUCACCCUGAAUGCGCCCGAUCUCGUCUGAUCUCGGAAGCUAAGCAUGGUCGAGCCUGAUUAGUACUUGGAUGGGAGACUGCCUGGGAAUACCAGGUGUUGUAGGCU
ensembl:rRNA 5S_rRNA 5S ribosomal RNA